rnacentral:rRNA from 1 species
AUUGAACGCUGGCGGAAUGCUUUACACAUGCAAGUCGAACGGCAGCACGGGAGCUUGCUCCUGGUGGCGAGUGGCGAACGGGUGAGUAAUGCGUCGGAACGUGCCGAGUAAUGGGGGAUAACGCAGCGAAAGUUGUGCUAAUACCGCAUACGCCCUGAGGGGGAAAGUGGGGGAUCGCAAGACCUCACGUUAUUCGAGCGGCCGACGUCUGAUUAGCUAGUUGGUGGGGUAAAGGCCUACCAAGGCGACGAUCAGUAGCGGGUCUGAGAGGAUGAUCCGCCACACUGGGACUGAGACACGGCCCAGACUCCUACGGGAGGCAGCAGUGGGGAAUUUUUGGACAAUGGGGGCGAACCCUGAUCCAGCCAUUCCGCGUGAGUGAAGAAGGCCUCGUGUAGUA